GACGAACGCUGGCGGCGUGCUUAACACAUGCAAGUCGAACGGAAAGGCCCUGCUUUUGUGGUGUGCUCGAGUGGCGAACGGGUGCGUAACACGUGAGUAACCUGCCCUUGACUUUGGGAUAACUUCAGGAAACUGGGGCUAAUACCGGAUCGGAGCUCCUGCUGCAUUGUGGGGGUUGGAACGUUUCGGCGGUUGGGGAUGGACUCGCGGCUUACCAGCUUGUUGGUGGGGUAGUGGCUUACCAAGGCUUUGACGGGUAGGCGGCCCGAGAGGGUGACCGGCCACAUGGGGACUGAGAGACGGAGCAGAAUGCAACGGGAGGCAGCAGGGGGGAAUAUGGCACAAUGGGAGGAAGCGUGAUGCAGCAACGCCGCGUGCGGGAUGACGGCCUUCGGGUUGUAAACCGCUUUCGCCUGUGACGAAGCGUGAGUGACGGUAAUGGGUAAAGAAGCACCGGCUAACUACGUG
rnacentral:rRNA from 1 species